rnacentral:miRNA from 1 species
UGUUGGUACUGGCUGUGGUGGAC